GCCUGGGUGGCUCAGUCGGUUGGGCGUCUGACUUCAGCUCAGGUCACGAUCUCGCGGUCCGUGAGUUCGAGCCCCGCAUCUGGCU
rfam:Felis catus isolate Cinnamon breed Abyssinian chromosome C1, whole genome shotgun sequence.